ensembl:lncRNA
AGAUUUUGCUCUUCAUUUGUGCUGUUUUAGGUGCUGGGCUUUGGAUUCCUGGCCCUGUUCUGAAGCACUUGAUACAUAAAGAGAUGUUCAUCUGGUGGCCUGGAAACUUUUGUGGUUCUGUUUAAAAAGGAAUUUAUUCAGAAGAAAAAUCUCCUGCACUUACUGGGAAGGAAAAGGAUGUAAUUACUGGGCUGCUGCUGAAAGACUUAUACUGGUUCCUGAAGAGAAAGACAUAUGAAGGUGCUGAGCGCUUAGUGACUUGGCGGGGUGGGUUGGAGGAGAAAGACUGCAAGCAGGGCUGGCACUGUUUGAUGCCCCAACCACCUGUCAGCAGAGUACAGGACUAUAAGGGCUGGUCCACAGCUAUCAUCUGCUACAGCACCAGGGUUUCUUUCUGCACUUGCAUGAGGUAACAAAAAGGAGUACAACUUACUGAUACGCUUGUGGGACAAAUAUUACUGCUGCUGAUUUCACUCCAGGAUGCUAAACAGAUUCAGGACGUUGUUUUCAUCUGAUUUGUGUAAAUGCCAUUCAUACUGGAAAGACUCAUGGGGAUUUUUGCCUUCCAAGCCUGUUUUCAGUAAUGGCAAUCCAACCAAAUGGCUGGCGUUCCUGAGAAUAUUAAAAUGGGAUGGAUGGGUCAAGAGUUAGUAUAAACUACUUCAGGAACACUCUGUGUAUGCUAUGGAUAGAGCAGUUCUCUGUGGGAGAACAGCAGCAGGCUUGGUACAGCACAAGCAAGCGACUGGGGAACAAUUCUCUGGGAAACGCACUGUAAAAGUCUUGUAUUGAUCCAUAAGGUGGCUUCAGGUCUCCAACAUGGAGUUGUGUUGCAUACACCCACAGAGGGACACUAAGCCUCUGUGCCCACCCAAUUAAAGCUUCAGCCCUAGCUGAAGCACUGGAGCUAGUGUUGUGUAAAGUGAUACUGCAGUAUCUCUUGAGCACCGAGGUGUUCAGAUGUGAUGAUGGCAGGAGAAUCAGGGGAGAGAGAGAGUUACAGGAAAUAUUCCCUGGAAUAAUGAUUUAUUGUGGUCUUUUCUAAUUUUCCUGCUUACUGAUAACUUGCCUGCUGACAGCUGUAUGCAUACAUGUUAAGUCAGUCUUUAUCAUCUAACAAUUCUGAGCCUUUGAGGUUCCAGCUGACUCCUUGUUUCUGCUCUUCUGUCACAGGCCAAAGAAACAGUUUUAAUAACUACAUGUUUGUUCAGAUUUGUUUGUCCAGCUCUCAUUACUUAGUAAGGGUCACUUAACAUCUCUGCAGUGUUGUACAGGACAAACUGAAAAAUGAAGCUGUCCUUAAAGGAACUGAGACAACAGAAUAUAGCUAUGCAAGCUGAAACACAAACAGCAUCCAAAAAACACAGGAGGAAUUCCCCUUGGCACAGUUGUACUCAGAAAACAUGCCAUGCAUUUGCAGUAACUACGGAGCUUGGAUUUACCACUCAAUGGGGGAAAAAAAUGGACUUGAUAGUUUUUCUGCAUUGGAACAUGAGGCUGUACUGUACCUUUCUUGUGUUACACUCUUCUGAAGCUGAGGAAAGUCCAUGGUGUUAACAGCGCUAACAUAGGAAUGGGAUGUAUUUGCCGAGAGUAGGAAAGAUACUCGGCCCCACUUGCAGGCUAAGUGCCUUCUGCUUUAUCAUUAUACUGUCCAUGUUAUCAAUAUGGCCCAGUAUUCUUCAUUUCCUCCCCUGAAAGACUGUUCAGUUGUAGCAACUGUUGUUAAACAGAGGUAGCAUUUCACCCAGGAGCUGGCUGCAUAUCAGUCCUGGAUAAAGUGGUUCCUUGCCAAGAAAGCUUGCAAAAUGCUUUCUGUCUGAACAAAACUAUGGGCCAGUUUUUAUUACAUGCUAUUAUUAUAAUUAUAGGUUCUUCUGCUUAAUCAGGAUGUGCUUAAUUAGGAUAGCCAUUUAAUUGGGACAUCUCCCAAGGAACCAAUUUAACUUAAUGAUAUUAGUGCUAUCUAAUCAGGACAGCUUCAGGAAAAAAAAAAUCAAAAGCUUUUUUAAAAAAUAAAAUAACAUAAAAAUAAGACCCCAGGAGGGAAAAAGAUAAGCUGAUGUUUUGCUGGUCUGAUGCAUCUACUCCAUUCCCUGAAGGUUUGGGUUGCAUUCAGCAGCUGCAGGUAUAUCUCAUUAAGGUUGUGGUGUUGUCCUGUUGUGAAAGUACCCAGCACCACACUUGCUGCUGCUGUUGGUGGAUGCAAAGUAGCCUGGAAGAUGAGGCCCAGGAACUUCAUACUGUCCCUCAGUGGGUGAGGAACAAAUCCCCUGACCAAUGGCUUAGUGGGGCACAAGGCUGACUUCAGCUGUACUGUUGGCUUUAAGGAAUCCCAGUCCCCGAUGUUCUCAACCCCCUGCUUGUUCCCAUGCUUCAACGUCACUGUCUCUCCAGUUGCAGUGAUGCAGUAUUAACUGGAUCAGUGACAAGACAAGGUUUAAAAUAACUUCUCUCUCUUUUUUUUUAGAAUGUUUGUGGGGUUUUUUUUAUUGUUAUUUUUAAAUGCGUAUCAGUUCAGCUUUCCAUUUGUCAGCUCUCCUGGGAUGCACUGCCAUGUCUCAGGGAGUGAUAAACAAGUGGGUAGAGAGAGCUGGAAAAGACACUGGCACAAUUCAGGAACCCAACACAGUGUAUAAUUGCAUACUGAUUUACACCGUCUCACUGAAAGUAGGAAUGGAUAUUACCUGAUAGUAAUUAAAGAAAUCAUGCCUCGGUCUUCAUCUGACUGUACCUCUUGGGUGCUUUUCCUAUAUGGGUAUGCAGAAUCACAUGUGCCUACUUCAGUGCACUUGAGUAGUGAGCUAACAGUUAACCAAGAACUAAAAAUGCUUGAAAGUAUAUCCAGCAAGUUCUGCACAGGUAUGUACUCCUCAGGGGCUGCAAGAAGUGAACUUAUUCAAGCUAAGUUAAUUACAAAAUGAAGUGAUUCCCCAGGAAUGAUGAAUGUCCUAAUUGCGUGCCUGCUGGUUAUUUGGGUCACCUUGUGCAGCCCCAUCUUCUUUUCAAUGAUCUUACUCCUAAAGACAUAGGGCUGCAGUUUUCAGACUCAUGCAGCUGGUUGGUAAGUGCAGGGUUGGGUUCCAUACCUGCUCGGCUGUGACCUUGGUUAGUCACCUUGGAGCUGCAUUUGCUGUUAGAUUUCAACACAGUUUUAGGAACUUUCAGGGAUCCUCUUCUGGGAUUUGGGUGCUUAAUCUUAGAGCUCUGCUGUCAAUUCUCUGCUGCACGUGAAGUCCUAUUGUGAUUUGUAAACACCUAUUAAAACAUUUGCCAAUGUUUUCUUCAAUAGAAAUUAUAACUAUUAUUAAAAAAGAAAUUUGAUAAAGAGUAAGUAUUCCUUGGUGUUGUUACUACUUACUGGCCCUAUACUUCUGAUUUAUUUCUGUUUUGAUGUAAAAGGAAACGUUGAACAUAUUCUAAGUAUAAAAUGUAGUAUUGUUACUGAUAAACACAGUGAGAAUAAACAUCACACUGC